rnacentral:other from 19 species
GUUUCAGACGGACCCUUGGGCGGUUGAAGU